UACGAACUGUGCGAACGUUAUUCGGAAUCACUGGGCUUAAAGGGUGCGUAGGCGGCUGCCUAAGUCAGGUGUGAAAUCUCUCGGCUCAACCGGGAAACUGCGCUUGAUACUGGGCGGCUCGAGUGAGGUAGGGGUGUGUGGAACUUCCGGUGGAGCGGUGAAAUGUGUAGAUAUCGGAAGGAACGCCAGCAGCGAAAGCGGCACACUGGGCCUUUUCUGACGCUGAGGCACGAAAGCUAGGGGAGCGAACGGG
rnacentral:rRNA from 2 species